AUGAAUCAAGAUGCAGUGCCGCAUGUGUCGUUGGCUCUGCAUCCCAAACAUCAGGCUAAAGACUUAGGUCUAAUGACGAAACGGGCGCUGCUGCUAGACGACUGGGUGUCCAGAGACCACGGACGCGAAAAGACCGACCAUCCCUGCACAGCAACCCUUCUUGAGAAACUUCCAGACUACCUCUGGUCAGAAGGUCCGACUGACAUUUUGCGGACCAGGUGCGAGACAAAACGGGAUCAGAACGCCCACAACCCCCACACGGCAGCCUGGAUCCUCCUGAAGGUCAUUAAGAGAAAGUGGUCAGAGACGCGGUGGAUAGGACCAUAUCAGGUGGAGGAGAGAACCUCACAUGCAGUGAGGCUGAGAGGGAAAGGUGAUACCUGGUACCACUGGAGCCAGUGUGCCACCGAAGAGGAACCAGCUCGCACUCUCCAGGACGUCCUGAAGGAUCAGGAGCAAGAGGCGGCAACGGGCACCGGAGGGUCGCCAAACGCCUGGAAAGGAGGCGAGAACUCAGAUGAGGAGGCUGAUCCAGCAGACGUUCUCCAAUAGCUGGGGUGAUCUCUGAAGAGAUCAAAAGGGGGAAUUGUGAGAUGCAUGUACUGGUAAAAUAUAUUAUAACAUUGUUUUGUGCUAAGGCCGUGUCUCAAGUGUCCUGUAUUUGUCCCUGUUGUGCAAGGAGCAACAUGAUGCAGAAUGAUAGUUUGCAGCUGUUCAUGGCCUUGGUUCAUAUCUUAUUCGGUACGAAAGAUCCGGAUCCACGUUUUUACUUUAUGGCAAUUAAUUAUGAUUUGGACCGGCCACUGAGGAUGAUCUUGCUGUGUGUGUGCGCUACCCUCAGCUUCACUGGCACUGGUCUUCAUGUGUAUAAAAACUCAGCGGUUUUACUGCUUGGAGACGCCAUUACACCGAACGCUGAGAUACGUGCUUGUGUGUUUGACCUCCAGCUUGCAAGCAAUAGUUAGAGCCAGAUAUCUGCAGAGAAUUGCUCAUGUAAUCUUUUUCUCUUCAAAAUAAAUCAAUGUGCUGGAUCCUUCUCAUCAACCGACUCGGGGGGAUCGGAGAUCCCGACACUUGACUACUUAAAGUAAAAACUACUAUCUUACUGCUGACUAGAAAAAGAAUGGAGAUCCAGACUGCUGUGAGUAGCUUAAAAGAGGAGUCCAGCCAAUUAAAGGAGAUUCACGUUUUUAAAGCAACAUUCCAAAGACUGUUGAAAUCCUGAGGACCUGAUGCAAGCAGAACGUUAUCUUGUGCAGUCAAAGACAAAGCUUUGAAGAACUAUCUACGCUAGAGGCUCGUAAAAUGGUGUUAAAAGAAGUAGUCAUCUGUACAAACUGGACGAUGGUCGUCUGAUUAGACUAGCGAUGCCUGAACAGGCCAAGCACCCAGUUAUUCUCUCGAAAGACCUGCACAUAUCCACACUUUUGCUACGACAUAUCCAUGGACAAAUUGGCCACGGAAGAAGAAAUCAUAUGCUGUCCCGACUCCGUAAAAAAUAUUGGACUAUCAAAGCUAACGCGGCAGCAAGAAGGAUCAGAUCAUAGACUACGAAUUGGAGUCCACAGAUCAAAAUCAACCGGUAUGUUCAUCGAUUUAUACAAUUUACUGCAAUAAAACUACAAACCUCAACUGCAAUAUUUGUCGGAAUGUCUUUGUGUGUGUCUACGUAAU
ensembl:lncRNA